ACCAAAUGAUAGACACUAAUCUCCAUUUCUUAGAAAUGAGGAAAUAAAACCACAAAAUGUACAAAGUCAGAUCUAAAACCCCUACCUUUGGGUCCAGACUUUUCUUCUAAAGUUCUGCAGUUAUACCCAGAUGCCACAGAAACAUAGGAUCUUAGAGGAGAAGUAACUUAGUCUACUCAAUGUGAAGACAACAAGGAUGAAGACCUUUAUGAUGAUUUACUUCCGCUUAAUAAAUAUCUUCAGUUCCUACCUGACAUGAUUUAUCCUCUGGAAGAAAACAAAUCCUGUGGUGACCAGAAUGACCACAAAAAGAGAGAGUUUCACAUAAAGAAUGAUCAGUAAGGACAACGCUGGAGAUCCUGAGGUUCUGAGACCUUUAAAUACAGACAGGGGUGAAAAAUCAUUUCAAGCAUUCUUCUAGUUACAAAUUAGAGUCAAUCAUUUUAAAGAACAUUUUAAAAUAUUCUUAAGAGUUCAUGGACUGUCAUAAUCAUAAAACCUUCUAAAUUAUGACUCAAAUGUUACUAAUAUACCAUUCUUUCAUGACAGAGUUUAGGAACCAUGUUUGUGUUUUGUACAUCGUAGGUUUCUGACAAAUUUUCUGAACAAAUAAAUGCACACUACGCAUUGCUAAUACUUUCCAAUUUUAUAAGAAAAGCAAUAUGUCAAGCUUUCCCCUGUAUAUUCCAACUUCC
rnacentral:lncRNA from 1 species